rnacentral:rRNA from 1 species
CAUACGGCUCAGUAACACGUGGCUAACCUACCCUCAGGACGGGGACAACCCCGGGAAACUGGGGCUAAUACCCGAUAGGUGAGGAUGCCUGGAAUGGUUUCUCACCCAAAGGGCACGGAAACAUGCUUUCGUUGUCGCCUGGGGAUGGGGCCGCGUCCGAUCAGGUUGUUGGUGAGGUAAUGGCUCACCAAGCCUUUAACCGGUACGGGCCGUGAGAGCGGAAGCCCGGAGAUGGGUACUGAGACAAGGACCCAGGCCCUACGGGGCGCAGCAGUCGCGAAAACUCCGCAAUGCACGAAAGUGUGACGGGGCUACCCCGAGUGCCAUCCGCUGAGGAUGGCUUUUCUUUGGUUUAAUUCGCCAGGGGAAUAAGGAGAGGGCAAGACUGGUGUCAGCCGCCGCGGUAAUACCAGCUCUCCGAGUGGUAGGGAUGUUUAUUGGGCUUAAAGCGUCCGUAGCCGGCUUAGCAAGUUUCCUGUUAAAUUCAGCGACCUAAUCGUUGAGCCGCGGGAAAUACUACUAGGCUAGGAGGCGGGAGAGGUCGACGGUACUUCUGGGGUAGGGGUGAAAUCCUAUAAUCCCGGGAGGACCACCAGUGGCGAAGGCUGUCGACUAGAACGCGCUCGACGGUGAGGGACGAAAGCUGGGGGAGCGAACCGGAUUAGAUACCCGGGUAGUCCCAGCUGUAAACGAUGCGGGCUAGGUGUUGGAAUGGCUACGUGCCAUUUCAGUGCCGCAGGGAAGCCAUU